GCUCUCACCCUAAGGCUGGCCAUGGUGCUGCGUGGCGUCAGGGUUGUGGAGCUGGCAGGCCUGGCCCCGGGGCCGUUCUGCGGAAUGGUCCUGGCGGACUUCGGCGCCGAGGUGGUGCGCGUGAACCGGCUGGGCUCCACGGGCGAGAAUUUUCUGGCCCGAGGCAAGCGCUCGCUAGCGCUGGACCUGAAGCGCUCUCAGGGAGUCACGGUGUUGCGGCGCAUGUGCGCACGCGCGGACGUGUUGCUGGAGCCCUUCCGCUGCGGUGUCAUGGAGAAACUCCAGCUUGGGCCAGAGACUCUACUGCAGGACAAUCCAAAGCUCAUCUAUGCCAGGCUGAGCGGAUUUGGCCAAUCGGGAAUUUUCUCCAAAGUAGCUGGCCAUGACAUCAACUAUUUGGCUUUAUCAGGGGCGUUCAAUUUGUUGUCCAUGGUGCAGGCGUUCUGUCAAAGAUUGGCAGAAGCGGUGAGAACCCCUACCCACCGCUGAAUCUCCUGGCUGACUUUGGCGGUGGAGGCCUCAUGUGCACACUGGGCAUUGUGCUGGCUCUCUUUGAACGCACACGCUCUGGCCGAGGGCAGGUCAUCGAUUCAAGCAUGGUGGAAGGGACUGCAUACUUAAGUUCUUUCCUGUGGAAAACCCAGCCCAUGGGUCUGUGGAAACAGCCUCGAGGACAAAACAUCUUAGAUGGCGGUGCACCUUUCUACACAACCUACAAGACGGCAGACGGGGAGUUCAUGGCUGUAGGUGCCAUAGAACCCCAGUUCUAUGCACUGCUGCUUAAAGGACUUGGACUCGAGUCUGAGGAACUCCCCUCCCAGAUGAGCUCAGCAGAUUGGCCAGAGAUGAAGAAGAAAUUUGCAGAUGUGUUUGCAAAGAAGACUAAGGCAGAAUGGUGCCAGAUCUUUGACGGGACAGAUGCGUGUGUGACCCCAGUGCUGACGUUUGAGGAGGCCCUCCACCACCAGCACAACAGAGAACGGGCCUCCUUCAUCACUGAUGGGGAGCAGCUCCCGAGCCCCCGCCCUGCACCUCUGCUUUCCAGAACUCCUGCCGUCCCAUCUGCCAAAAGGGACCCUUCUGUAGGGGAGCACACCGUAGAAGUGCUUAGAGAGUAUGGAUUCAGUCAGGAAGAGAUCCUUCAGCUGCACUCAGAUAGAAUCGUUGAAAGUGAUAAGCUAAAAGCCAAUCUCUGACUCAGGCUUAUAGCUCAAGAGAAUCUGAAGGCUGCAUCUCCACUGGGGAGGGAUGCCCACAAUUGUGUGUAUGGAAAUGUGGAUGAACAGCAAUGAAGUCAUCCAAAUAUCCCAAUCACGAUCCAACGAAAGGCUGGUUACAGGAUAACGAUUGCGCCCUUACGCUGCUUAUCAGAGCCUCUGAUUGAGGAAAAUUUGUGUGUGUGUACUGAUAGUAACUUGUGGCAGCUUUCUGCCUUUCAGUUCCCUUGGUGAAGUGUAUCCAUUUAUUAAAACCCUUUUAUAAAUACAACUCUGAUCAUAUAUUAAAUAAACUAUUAUAACUUUAAUAAAUAAAACUCUUGUUUUCCUCCUCAAA